CGUGUAGGCGGUCAGGUAAGUGGAAUGUGAAAUGCCCCGGCUCACCCGGGGACCGGCAUCCCAAACUGCCUGGCUUGAGUAUGGGAGAGGAUGGAGGAAUUCCUGGUGUAGCGGUGAAAUGCGUAGAUAUCAGGAGGAACACCGGUGGCGAAGGCGUCCAUCUGGCCCAAUACUGACGCUGAGGCGCGAAAGCUAGGGGAGCAAACGGG
rnacentral:rRNA from 1 species